GACGAACGCUGGCGGUGUGCUUAACACAUGCAAGUCGAACGGAAAGGCCUCUUUCGGGGGUACUCGAGUGGCGAACGGGUGAGUAACACGUGAGUAACCUGCCCUUGACUUUGGGAUAACUUCAGGAAACUGGGGCUAAUACCGGAUAGGAGCUCCUGCUGCAUGGUGGGGGUUGGAAAGUUUCGGCGGUUGGGGAUGGACUCGCGGCUUAUCAGCUUGUUGGUGGGGUAGUGGCUUACCAAGGCUUUGACGGGUAGCCGGCCUGAGAGGGUGACCGGCCACAUUGGGACUGAGAUACGGCCCAGACUCCUACGGGAGGCAGCAGUGGGGAAUAUUGCACAAUGGGUGGAAGCCUGAUGCAGCAACGCCGUGUGCGGGAUGACGGCCUUCGGGUUGUAAACCGCUUUCGCUCAUGACGAAGCUUUGUGUGACGGUAGUGGGUAAAGAAGCACCGGCUAACUACGUG
rnacentral:rRNA from 1 species